rnacentral:rRNA from 1 species
GAUGAACGCUGGCGGCGUGCCUAACACAUGCAAGUCGAACGGAGUUACUUUGGUGAAGUUUUCGGAUGGAACUGAUUUAACUUAGUGGCGGACGGGUGAGUAAUGCGUGAGCAACCUGCCCUUCAGAGGGGGACAACAGUUGGAAACGACUGCUAAUACCGCAUAAGCCCACGGGUCGGCAUCGACCAGAGGGAAAAGGAGCAAUCCGCUUUGAGAUGGCCUCGCGUCCGAUUAGCUAGUUGGUGAGGUAAUGGCCCACCAAGGCGACGAUCGGUAGCCGGACUGAGAGGUUGAACGGCCACAUUGGGACUGAGACACGGCCCAGACUCCUACGGGAGGCAGCAGUGGGGAAUAUUGCACAAUGGGGGAAACCCUGAUGCAGCGACGCCGCGUGGAGGAAGAAGGUCUUCGGAUUGUAAACUCCUGUUGUUGAGGAAGAUAAUGACGGUACUCAACAAGGAAGUGACGGCUAACUACGUG